ensembl:ncRNA F08F3.13 ncRNA
UCUGUAAAAAAUCUCUUCAGUUUUCACGUCACAAUACGGAGAACUACAAAGAUUUCUUACCU